rnacentral:rRNA from 1 species
GAUGAACGCUAGCGGCAGGCUUAACACAUGCAAGUCGAGGGGCAGCAUAAUGAAGUAGCAAUACGGAAUUGAUGGCGACCGGCGCACGGGUGCGUAACGCGUAUGCAACCUACCCAUAACAGGGGGAUAACACUGAGAAAUUGGUACUAAUACCCCAUAAUAUUUUAAAAGGCAUCUUUUAGAUUUGACAGUUCAGGCGGUUAUGGAUGGGCAUGCGUUGUAUUAGCUAGAUGGUGAGGUAACGGCUCACCAUGGCGACGAUACAGAGGGGGACUGAGAGGUUAACCCCCCACACUGGUACUGAGACACGGACCAGACUCCUACGGGAGGCAGCAGUGAGGAAUAUUGGUCAAUGGACGCAAGUCUGAACUAGCCAUGCCGCGUGCAGGAUGACGGCUCUAUGAGUUGUAAACUGCUUUUGUACAAGGGUAAACCCUGGGACGUGUCCUAGGCUGAAAGUACUGUACGAAUAAGGAUCGGCUAACGCCGUGCCAGCAGCCGCCGUAACAC